AUGAUGAUGUUUGUUAGGGAUGAGAUUAAUAAUAAGUUGUAUGGCUAUGCCUCUCAAAGCUUUUCCAAUUUUCUGUUGAUAUUAAGAUAUUGCAAAUAUAUUCAUAGUAAUCACUACAUAUUUGUAAGUAAGAAAUGCAACAUAUUGUUCCUCAAAAACACAGUAGAAGCCAUAAAUAAUUGUAUUAACAAAUCAAUUCCAUUGAAAUUGCAAAUUGGUAAAAUUGAAGAUUAUAGAAUAAUUUUAUUGUAUUAUAAGAGUAAUAUUGUUACACUAUAA